rnacentral:tRNA from 1 species
GGGAAAGUGGCUCAGUGGUAGAGCACUUGCCUUGCAUGCAUGAGGCCCUGGGUUCAAUUCUCAGCACCA